UGCUGAGCAUACAGCCUGGGGGUGGGGUGGGUAGAGACUUGAGGGUGGAAGAAACCUCCAUCCACCUUUCCACAGUAAAGCCCUGUCCAGGCCUGCACUCGCGUCUGCGGGGUUCUCGUUGUGAGUACCUACAAUGUGACCACAGUGCUAGAUGAGAGGACUACAGAGACAAGAGUACAGUGUACAGUCACAAACGCUCCAGGAGGAAGCACGGCGGAGAAUGGCUUCCACAAGGUGAUAACCCGGAUUUCUCAAAGCAGGUAGAGACACUAGCAGGGAGUGACUCAUUCAAGGGGGGCGAGGCACCGCCUGCCUGUGACCCCAGCACCGGGAGGCUGAAGCAGGAGGAUUGCCGCGACUUCCAGGCCAGCCUGGGAAAGACAUCAAUGGACUCAAUUCCCAGAAAAAGACACAAGCUGACAAUAUGGAUACAAAAAUAGGAUCCAGCAAUCUGCUGCAUACAA